AGGUACCCUUCUUGCUAACAUCGAAAGGCGAGGCCACUUGACUGAGAGAGAAGCAAGUUUGGUGGUUCGUGACAUAGCCAGAGCUUUAGAUUUUCUUCACCGUAAAGGAAUUGCCCAUAGGGAUUUAAAACCUGAAAAUAUUUUGUGCGAGAAAACAGAUGAGGUGGUUCCAAUUCGAAUCUGUGACUUUGACCUUGCCAGUGGUGUUCCGGUCAGUCAGAAUGACAACUGCACCACCCCUGAAUUACUCACCCCAGUUGGUUCUGCUGAGUACAUGGCACCUGAGGUUGUGGACGCCUGGGUCGGAGAGUCGUUCAAGUACGACAAAAAAUGUGAUCUGUGGAGUCUUGGAACCAUACUGUACAUCAUGCUUUGUGGAUACCCGCCUUUCUACGGUCAGUGUGGAGAGGACUGUGGGUGGGAGAAGGGAGAGCCAUGCCAAGGACUGUCAGGACAGCCUCUUCACCAGAAUCCAAGAGGGCAUCUUUGACUUUCCUGAUAAUGAGUGGUUCAACAUCUCGCCAGACGCUAAGGAUUUGAUCCAGAAACUCCUGGUGAGGGACCCCAGAAAGAGGCUCUCUGCUGUGGAGGUUCUUCACCACCCCUGGGUGCAGACAUCUCCAGCUCCCACUCCGCUGGCAACACCAAGAGUACUCACCAGGAACAACAGCACAAAAGACUUGGAGUGCUAUGCCAGCGAAGUAAUAUCCAUGAACCGCAUGAUGCAGCAACACUUGCUCAUUUCCGAGCCAACUUCAUUCUUCAUUGGCAACCGCGACGAAAACUUGUUGGAGGAGUUGUUAGAGGAAACAGACUCUGGGGAUGAUCUCUUUAUGCCCUCCAUAAAACUCUCUCCUCCCUGCUCAGGACUUGCCAAGAGACGCACCUGUACAACCCUGAGGAACUUGAACACCUCGGGAGAGCAGAGUGACGGUGUUGACUCGCUUCCAAGUUCACAUUCCUCCACCUUUGGUGUGAGCGUGUAGUCAUUUCAUCAUUUCCAUUCUAGCAUUUCUUGCUUAGAAAAUAUUCAGGGAUCUUGUGUGUAUAUUGAUUCAGAGUAUAUAUAGCUACAUUUAAAAACAAUUUUCUGAAAAAAGAUAUCCAAAUGUCUUUCAAGUCUUUAUAGGAAAAAAAAAAUUUGAGACAUAUUGUCUUCAUUGUGAGAGAGGGGAAAGAUUCACGAAAGUUUUGAAAAAACAAAUAGAUGAGUGCUCUUAAAGAACAUUAAGCAAUCAAAGAAAUCAAUGUUCAUGUGUCUAUGUGAUGUGUAAAUGUGUAUGAUUGAGAAUGAAAAAAGAUAGGUGUGAUGAGUACUUGAUGGUUGUGAAAAUGAGAUUAGUAUUUUUUCAAAUGCAUUUCUGUUCAGAAAUGUUCUCAUUGUUAUAUUUUUUAAUUGUCCAUGUGUUCGAUUUUAUCUGUUUUAAAUGUUUCCAUUUGUAUUUUUUACAAUUGUUUCAUAGAAUUGAAUUCAAAUUGAGCCAGUCUUGAUAUUAGGACAGAGCAAUUGUGUAAAUAAUCGAUCGAUGAUUUCCAAAAUUUCUUCGACAGUUUUGUUGAAGAUGCAUUCUACAUGUGUACUUUGAUAACUUUUAAAAACCGGUAAUUUGCUCUCUUUCUCAGAUAUGAACAAAACCAUUUCGCAUUUUUGAUACCAAUACACUCUUAGCAAUUUAAAUUUUUUUUUUUUCGUCAAAAAUGUGAAACUUAAGUUUUGUGUUUUGUAACAGUGCCAUUUUAACAUGCAAAGAGAGAGAGAGAAGGAGAGAAAUAUAUACAAGCUAGAGGCAAGACACAAUGUCUAGGAAGCUAUGGCCUGAAAAAAGUUGAAAUCCGUUGUUGUUAUACAAUAUAUUACCUCUUGUCCUUGUCCAUGUGUGCUAAAAAAAGAAGUCAAAAAGGGAAUUCCUGAAUGGCAACAGGAUUUCCAUGUGAUAACUCAUUGUGCAACUGUGAUGUUUAAAACUGAGAAAUUGAUGUUUGAAAACAGCCUUAUAUUUGAGCUUGUUGUUGCCAAUCUUUGUUAAAACAAAUGCAUUUAUUAUGCGAGCUUGUUAUAUUUGUUCUAGUUAUAAAAAAUAUUUCGAAACAG
rnacentral:misc_RNA from 1 species